rnacentral:rRNA from 1 species
GCACAAGCGGUGGAGCAUGUGGUUCAAUUCGACGCAACGCGAAGAACCUUACCUGGGCUCGAAAUGUAGUGGAUCGAGGUAGAAAUAUCUCUUUCUCGCAAGGGACUGCUAUAUAGGUGCUGCAUGGCUGUCGUCAGCUCGUGUCGUGAGAUGUUGGGUUAAGUCCCGCAACGAGCGCAACCCUUAUCUUUAGUUGCCAUCAGGUCAAGCUGGGCACUCUAACGAAACCGCACAGGAUAACUGUGAGGAAGGUGGGGAUGACGUCAAGUCCUCAUGGCCUUUAUGUCCAGGGCUACACACGUGCUACAAUGGUCGGUACAAACCGUCGCAAACCUGCGAAGGGGAGCUAAUCGGAAAAAGCCGGCCUCAGUUCGGAUUGGAGUCUGCAACUCGACUCCAUGAAGCUGGAAUCGCUAGUAAUCGCAGAUCAGAACGCUGCGGUGAAUACGUUCCCGGGC